rnacentral:lncRNA from 1 species
CUUAUUUUCAGGCCCACCUACACAAAUCUUAUAUCAAAACGUUCAGCUAUCCCUCCUGCCACUAAACAUGUCAACGGCUAAACCAUAGUCCUGAUAGUUUUCACAAUAUAAUCAUUUGUUUGCAACUAACGCCGUCCAUUGACUUUCAUUGAAACUUCACUCUGCAAAGCUCAAAUUUGAAGUGCAAUUUCUAAACUGCGACUGUGCCUUCAUUUUUAAUACUUCAGAGACAUACU